rnacentral:lncRNA from 1 species
GUCAAACAUGUUUGUAAAAUACUGGCUUUAAUUUAAACUGCUCUCUUUAUUAUAGGACUUCCAGAAAUUUUACUUUACUAAGAAUGACUCUGCAAGAAGGGAUCAUAUUCAGCAACAUCACCUUGUUGCGCAAACUCAUCGCUCACGAAUCUUUAUUUACUACAAAUUAUUUUUAGGACUUUGAAACUAUCCAGAGAAAAAGAACAGUUGUUCAGCUAGCACUAGGUUAGUUCAAAUCCAAAGCUGGCCCAUGUUCACUAUUUGACCUUAAGGAAUGUAUUUAAACUGUGUGAACUUCCAUUUUGUCAUCUAUAUAAUAGAGGAAAUAAUUUCUGUUGUCUUCACAUUGUAGGACAAGUAAAUGUGCCCUACAUACUCUUGUAUGGUGGGUGAAAUAUCAAGAGCCUCCUUAUUAUGGCAGAGAGGAAGGUGAUCUCCUUAUUUUUCAGGUCCUGGGAAGCCCUUCUGUCCACUGAAUAAAGCUUUCCAUGGGGGUGGCAGUUGGUGAGGCAGCAGAAUCCCAAAGUUAGCAAAAAACCAUACCCAUGAUUGUUCAGCUCUCUUGGUAAUUCAUUGCUGAGGUCUUUUGUAUGUAAACUCUGUGCCCAUCUCACUUAGAGCCUAAAGUCCAGAUAAGCUGCCCUGCUUGGGCUGUGUUUCACAUUUAUCUGCAAGUAAAGAAGCAAGUCAGCAUUGGAAGACUCAUUCUGGUUAAGAAUUUAGAACAUGUAGGUCUGUUUCAGGCACAGCCAUUUACUAGCUAAGUGAUCUUGGGCAAAUUGUUUAGCUUCUUUGUGCCAUAGUUUUCUUAUUGGGAUAAGGUGAAAAUGAAAUGAUUGCUAUGUGUAAAACAUUCCUUCCCCCUGACUUUUUUUUUUCCAAAGAUAAAAUGAGUUCACUAUUCAAAUGGAAGAUGGUGGCUGUAACUUCUGGCACAUAGUAGGAAUUCUCUGCUGUAAUGUGCUCCUGAAGAAGGUUGUAAUCUUGAUAGAGAUGUGGCUGUAACAUCACUUUCUUUGCAGUACCCUUUACAGACAGUUUUUGGUGUUAUUCUGUUUCCUGUCCAUAUUCAUUUCAUUGAUAGUUUGUAGCGUUUGCCAAAACCUCCUCUUGAAAUUCUUACUGCAUGCUUCUUUUCCUUCCUCUUACUUCAUGUCAUUCCUUAUUUCCUUUGCUGUCUCCUCUUCCUUCUCAUCUCAUUAAAAACAGUUUUUUCCUCAAGGUUCUGCCAUUAGCUUUCUUUAUUUACUCCAUUAAUAUUUCUCAAAAUUGGCCUUAGAAUCACGGUGACUACUUUUUAAAAGUUCAGUCUCAUUGCCCCUCCAGGCAGCUUCUGAAUUAGAUUCUCUGGGAGUCAGAUCCUGGAAUCUAU